rnacentral:tRNA from 1 species
GCAUUGAUGGUUAAAUGGUAACCAACGUCGUCUUUGAUUCGACGUGCUGGAGGUUCGACUCCUCCUUGAUGCA